CCCUUAGAUGUUCUGGGCUGCACGCGUGCUACACUGAUAUUGCCAAUAUGUCAUUCUUAUCCGAAUUGGAUUGGGUAAUCAAGUAAUGAAAUUUCAUGCUUGGAAUCGGUAAUUGCAAUUUUAUCGUGAACGAGGAAUUCCUAGUAAGCACUAGUCAUCAGCUAAUGUUGAUUAUGUCCCUGCCCUUUGUACACACCGCCCGUCGCUACUACUGAUUGGGUGUUCAAGUGAGAUGCUUAGACCCUUGUUGCAUGGUUCAUUAUUGUGCUCCGAAAGGAAAAAGUUUCAAGCUUGAGUGUCUAGAGGAAGUAAAAGUCGUAACA
rnacentral:rRNA from 1 species